rnacentral:rRNA from 1 species
CUCCCUUCGGGGAGUGCAUAAAGUGGCGCACGGGUGAGUAACACGUAAGUAAUCUACCCUCGAGUGGGGAAUAACGUCCGGAAACGGGCGCUAAUACCGCAUAAUGCAGCGGCACCGCAAGGUGACAGUUGUUAAAGAUUUAUCGCUUGAGGAGGAGCUUGCGGCAGAUUAGCUAGUUGGUAAGGUAAUGGCUUACCAAGGCUACGAUCUGUAUCCGGUCUAAGAGGACGGUCGGACACACUGACACUGAAUAACGGGUCAGACUCCUACGGGAGGCAGCAGUCGGGAAUUUUGGGCAAUGGGGGAAACCCUGACCCAGCAACGCCGCGUGAAGGAUGAAGUAUUUCGGUAUGUAAACUUCGAAAGAAUGGGAAGAAUAAAUGACGGUACCAUUUAUAAGCUCCGGCUAACUACGUGCCAGCAGCCGCGGUAAUACGUAGGGAGCAAGCGUUGUUCGGAUUUACUGGGCGUAAAGGGCGCGUAGGCGGCAGAUCAAGUCAGCUGUGAAAUCUCCGAGCU